GACGAACGCUGGCGGCGUGCUUAACACAUGCAAGUCGAACGGAAAGGCCCUGCUUUUGUGGGGUGCUCGAGUGGCGAACGGGUGAGUAACACGUGAGUAACCUGCCCUUGACUUUGGGAUAACUUCAGGAAACUGGGGCUAAUACCGGAUAGGAGCUCCUGCUGCAUGGUGGGGGUUGGAAAGUUUCGGCGGUUGGGGAUGGACUCGCGGCUUAUGAGCGUGUUGGUGGGGUAGUGGCUUACCAAGGCUUUGACGGGUAGCCGGCCGGAGAGGGUGACCGGCGACACGGGGGGUGAGCCGCCGCCAAGGGGCCUACGGGAGGCACCAGUGGGGAAGGGGGGACAAUGGGGGAAAGUCUGACCCAGCGGGGGCGCGUGCAGGACGAAGGCCUCCGGGGGGGAAACUGGUUUUGUGGGUAAAAAACAGCUUCGGCCUAAGAAAGAGGGGGCAUGACGGUACUGGAAAAAGAAGCACCGGCUAACUACGUG
rnacentral:rRNA from 1 species